rnacentral:lncRNA from 1 species
CUAUACUACUUGGGUUAAUAUGCUUAAUUUUUACAACCUCCAAUAGCGCUUCCUUCACUUCCUCGCGGGCUUCCGUCCCGAGCUCUGAUAUCCCGCCUUCAUCAUGCCCGUUCUUGAGUUUCCCGAGCAGUUGGGACACUUCGGCGUGUACGUUUCGGGCUUUCCGCAGAGAUAGCAGAAUACUCUGCGUUCCUUGGCCAUACACUCUCGGAACCCGUGGCCAACUUCUCCACAAUUCCAGCAGCCCAGCCUCGGCUUCGCUGUCAGGUGGGUUUCCUCAACCAUCACCUCUUCCUCUCCUUCCAACAGCUCCUCCGA